AUUGAACGCUGGCGGCAGGCUUAACACAUGCAAGUCGAACGAGUGGCGGACGGGUGAGUAAUGCUUGGGAAUCUAGCUUAUGGAGGGGGAUAACUACGGGAAACUGUAGCUCAUACCGCGUACCAUAGGAUGAGCCCAAGUGGGAUUAGGUAAUUGGAGAGGUAAAGGCUCACAAAGCCGACGAUCUCUAGCUGGACUGCGAGGCUGACCAGCCACACUGGGACUGAGAAACGGCCCAGACUCCUACGGGAGGCAGUAGUGGGGAAUAUUGCGCAAUGGGGGCAACCUGACGCAGCCAUGCCGCGUGAAUGAAGAAGGCCUUCGGGUUGUAAAGUUCUUUCGGUAGCGAGGCGUUAACUACAGAAGAAGCACCGGCUAACUCCGUGCCAGCCGCCGCGGUAAUUC
rnacentral:rRNA from 1 species